UACGGAGGAUGCAAGCGUUAUCCGGAUUCACUAGGUUUAAAGGGUGCGUAGGCGGGACAGUAAGUCAGUGGUGAAAUCUUGCGGCUUAACCGUAAAAUAGCCAUUGAUACUGUUGUCCUUGAGUUCGGUUGAGGUAGGCGGAAUGAGUAAUGUAGCGGUGAAAUGCUUAGAUAUUACUCAGAACACCGAUUGCGAAGGCAGCUUACUAAACCGAUACUGACGCUGAGUCACGAAAGCGUGGGGAGCGAACAGG
rnacentral:rRNA from 1 species